rnacentral:snRNA from 1 species
GUAAGUGAAGGCAAUUUGGCUGCGACAUCUGUCACCCCAUUGAUCCCCAGGGUUGAUUCAGUGAUCCAGCUGGAAAGGCAGGUUUCUCCCUCCCCCCCUCACCACUCCAUGCAUGCGCCUCCUGAAGCUGCACACUCGGUCAAAGAGGACGACCUUCUGCAAAUGGAGGAGGACGACCUUCUGCAAGUGGAGGAGGACCAGUCUUCAGUCAGGGAUAUGCCAGAAGCUUUGCUCCCCUGCUAGAACCUCUGAACAAGAGCUCAUAACUAACAUCGUAGAACAAAUGGACCUAAGGAACAGCUACAAAACAUCCCAUCCAAAAAUUUCAAAAAAUGCAUUCUUUU